rnacentral:misc_RNA from 1 species
AGCAGCCGCGGUAAUUCCAGCUCCAAUAGCGUAUAUUAAAGUUGUUGCAGUUAAAAAGCUCGUAGUUGAAUUUCGAGAUCAAAUUGUUGGUCGUGCCUUGGUACGCACUGGCAUUAUUGGUUUCUCCCUUCUGACGAAUCAUGAUGUCAUUAAUUUGGUGUCUUGGGGAAUCAGGACUGUUACUUUGAAAAAAUUAGAGUGUUUAAAGCAGGCUCACGCUUGAAUACAUUAGCAUGGAAUAAUGAAAUAGGACGUUUGAUUCUAUUUUGUUGGUUCCUAGGAUCGACGUAAUGAUUAAUAGGGAUAGUUGGGGGCAUUAGUAUUCAAUUGUCAGAGGUGAAAUUCUUGGAUUUAUUGAAGACUAACUACUGCGAAAGCAUUUGCCAAGGAUGUUUUCAUUAAUCAAGAACGAAAGUUAGGGGAUCGAAGACGAUCAGAUACCGUCGUAGUCUUAACCAUAAACUAUGCCGACUAGGGAUCGGAUGAUGUUAAUUUUUUAAUGACUCAUUCGGCGCCUUAC